AUUGAACGCUGGCGGCAGGCCUAACACAUGCAAGUCGAACGAGUGGCGGACGGGUGAGUAAUGACUGGGAAACUGCCCCAUGGAGGGGGAUAACUACUGGAUACGGUAGCUAAUACCGCAUACUCUCGGAUGUGCCCAGAUGGGAUUAGCUUGUAGGUGAGGUUACGGCGCACCUAGGCGACGAUCCCUAGCUGGUCUGAGAGGAUGACCAGCCACACUGGAACUGAGAAACGGUCCAGACUCCUACGGGAGGCAGCAGUGGGGAAUAUUGCACAAUGGGCGCAAGCCUGAUGCAGCCAUGCCGCGUGUAUGAAGAAGGCCUUCGGGUUGUAAAGUACUGUCAGCGGGGAGGCGUUACCCGCAGAAGAAGCACCGGCUAACUCCGUGCCAGCAGCCGCGGUAAUAC
rnacentral:rRNA from 1 species